rnacentral:misc_RNA from 1 species
CAACCCUCAAGCUCUGCUUGGUAUUGGGCUCUGCCGCGAUGGCAGGCCUUAAAAUUAGUGGCGGUGCCGUCUGGCUCCAAGCGUAGUACAUCUCUCGCUCUGGAGGCCUGGUGGUGUCUUGCCAGAUAACCCCAAUUAUCUUCUAU